GUUCAUGGCUUCUGGCAGUCAAUAUAUAUAAAGGUUGAUGCUGUAAACAAACUUCUCCCCUUUUGUGAUUAAAAAACUCUUGAUGACCUUGUGAACCAUCUUUCAGGUUUGCCCAUGUUUCUGGCUUUAAUAUGCAGCACUAGAUUUACCAACCUCUUCUACAGAUGCUAAACAUUCAAUCCUGGAGGCUCCACUUCAUCAUCAGCUCUAUGAAAGCAGCUCCAGCACCGUGGCAGCAAAUACUUUGGUACAUACUGAAAAUGGGUAGGUAUGAAUAUUCUCAACCAAACUGAUAGAAACCUAAGAUUUGGAAACAUGAAAAUUU
rnacentral:lncRNA from 11 species